AGAAAAGGGGCGGAGCCGCGCGGCUCUUAAAGGGACCGCAGCACCGCGCCGCCCCCCCGCGGGGCCGCGAUGAGUUACCGGGUGUGCGCGUGGGGGCGGCGGCACGCGUGGGACGUCACGAGGAUGGUGACGGAGGCGGCGAAGAUUUUGGGGGACAGCGACGCCCUGAACAUAACACCUGAACGGCUCCUGGCUGAUGGGUUCGGCCCGCGCCCCAAAUUCGGCUGUUUGGUGGCGGAGGCGGCGGGAGAGGAGGGU
rnacentral:lncRNA from 1 species